ACAUGCUAGUCACUUGGCUUUCUCAAACUAAUUUUAAGUUUGUCUUGACAAACCUUUUUAACUAGUUUUCCUUUAAAUGCUUAAACAGAGCUAAAAUAUAAUGUUUUACAACAACAACUAAGGUCAAAUCUCAGUUUUGCCCAUAUUACAAAGAACACAAGACUGUGCUCGAAACAUUUCUCUCCGGAAUGUUUUUCAAGAACAUCGACUGGAAUCAGGAAGCUCAAGGAAGGUUCAGUUCCCUCAGUGUUCACCUGGACUCAACGGCCUUACGAAAGGAAAGCCUUGCAAUUAGCCCAUGACUACUGAGGAGAAGCUUGUGGCUGCACAGGAGGAGAUUUCUCGUCUCAGAAGCCAUCAUUUGGCAUUCAGAACAAUAUGGCCCACAGCACAGAGCAUGGCCUCAUGGGCUCAAAAGCAAAGAAUUAAUGAAACCAACACACACUGAGGGUUGGAUGCCAGACACAACAUCUCUCCCAGUUUAAUCAGCUUUUCUUGAACAAGACCUUGCUCUGCGUUUCAAUGCAUCACAAAGUACAGUCAGUCAAAUUUGUGUAACCCGGGCAAAUUAUUUGUACUUCAUGCUAGGGUGUCUGCCUUUAUGGCCAAGUAGAUCUUCAGUUGAUGAACUUAUGCCAGAGUAUUUUAAAGCUGUCUACCCCAAAACCAGAGUCAUCCUGGAUUGUACUUCGAUUCCAAUGUGCCAGCUCCAAGAUACUGAACUCUGAGACUUACUCACACUACAAAGGCACAACUAAACUCAAAUCUCUGGUUGGAAUUUCAUGGGAGCAUGAGCAGUCUUUAAACAGGAAGCAUCUCUGAUAAAGAGAUCACCAAGUCAUCUGGCAUUUUUAAUCUUCUUGAAGAGGGCGAUGCUGUGAUGGUAGAUAAAGGCUUUUUAAUCAAAGACAUCGAGCGCAGCGUUAGUUCAGUCAGGCCACAGAGGCAAGGCUGUGAACAGCUGAUGAGGUCAGCUGUCAAAUCGCUCCGAACACCACCUCUCUCCUAUUAGACACGGGA